rnacentral:misc_RNA from 1 species
GAUGAAGAACGUAGCGAAAUGCGAUAAGUAAUGUGAAUUGCAGAAUUCAGUGAAUCAUCGAAUCUUUGAACGCACAUUGCGCCCCCUGGUAUUCCGGGGGGCAUGCCUGUUCGAGCGUCAUUUGUACCUUCAAGCUCUGCUUGGUGUUGGGUGUUUGUCUCGCCUCUGCGUGUAGACUCGCCUCAAAACAAUUGGCAGCCGGCGUAUUGAUUUCGGAGCGCAGUACAUCUCGCGCUUUGCACUCAUAACGACGACGUCCAAAAGUACAUUUUUACACUCUUGACCUCGGAUCAGGUAGGGAUACCCGCUGAACUUAAGCAUAUCAAUAAGCGGAGGA